UACAGAGGGGGCAAGCGUUAUUCGGAAUUAUUGGGCGUAAAGGGCGCGUAGGCGGCCAUUCAAGUGACGGGUGAAAGCCCUCGGCUUAACCGAGGAACUGCCUGUCAGACUGGAUGGCUUGAGACCGGGAGAGGUGAGUGGAAUUCCCAGUGUAGCGGUGAAAUGCGUAGAUAUUGGGAGGAACACCAGUGGCGAAGGCGGCUCACUGGACCGGAACUGACGCUGAGGCGCGAAAGCGUGGGGAGCAAACGGG
rnacentral:rRNA from 1 species